rnacentral:rRNA from 1 species
UACGUACCGUACGAACGUUAUUCGGAAUUACUGGGCUUAAAGCGUGUGUAGGCGGGUCGUUAAGUACCUUGUGAAAUCCCACGGCUCAACCGUGGAACUGCUUGGUAUACUGGCGAUCUUGAGCCAGCUAGGGGCUACCGGAACAAACGGUGGAGCGGUGAAAUGCGUAGAUAUCGUUUGGAACGCCAAUGGUGAAAACAGGUAGCUGGGGCUGUGCUGACGCUGAGACACGAAAGCCAGGGGAGCGAACGGG